CGAAUAUUGUCCGGAGCCAUGAAGGGUUCCGGGGAAAGGGAGGCCUCUGAUACAAGCUUUCGCCUUAAGAUGAGCCCAUGGCCCAUCAGCUAGUUGGUAGGGUAAAGGCCUACCAAGGCUACGACGGGUCGCUGGUCUGAGAGGACGACCAGCCACACUGGCACUGAGAUACGGGCCAGACUCCUACGGGAGGCAGCAGUGAGGAAUAUUGCGCAAUGGGGGGAAACCCUGACGCAGCAACGCCGCGUGUGGGAAGAAGGCCUUCGGGUCGUAAACCACUUUUUGCACGGGGACGAAAAAGGGAUAUCGAACAAAUAUCCCCGAUGACGGUACCGUGAGAAAUAAGCCACGGCUAAACUCUAGUGCCAGCAGCCGCGGUAAGACAGAGGUGGCAAGCGUUGUUCGGAAUUACUGGGC
rnacentral:rRNA from 1 species